CAGCAAGCUGCACGGUGCUGUCCCUGACCUGUGCUCGGUGCAGGCAAGAGGCUGUGCCACCCUAUACAACCUACUUGGACAAGGCCUUGUUGUGUGUCCCAGGUCAGAAAAAAAAAGUCCCAACUCACUUUUUCCUGUAUGAGGAGAAGGGGUACCAUAGGACAUGGAACAGUUCUUGGUAGAUCCCUGCCAUCCUGCACAUCCCUUGCUAGCUGUACUGAAAGUGAAGGUGGAACCAAGAGAAACCAGUGGAAGGAUUUCAACUGGAACAGAAAUCAGAAGUCUCUUCUGCUAAAAGAUGUUCAAAAGGAGCAGAAUUGUUGGCAUCCUGACAAUUCCCACAUCACAUAGACAGGAAAAGCACUAUCAGUGCAGGCCUUCUUCUGGAUCAGCUUCAGGCUCUUUCCCACCCUUCCACCUGCCCCACUAACAGGAACAGCAAUUGAUGCAGCUAUACCUCUGCUGAUGCUUCACAAACAGUAAGGCUGAAAGCCCAGCGCUGUUACACAGCACCAGCAAAAGCCACAGCAGCAGCACAUGUUUAAUAAAGGUAUUCCUAGCAGCCUGCACGCUCGAUGUGCUGUGAUUACAACCAGGGCAGCAGCGCGGUGCAGUGCCGGCUGCCCCCUGACAGCUCUGCUCCCCUGGAAGCGCGGGGCUGACAGCUCCGCGAGGAGAGCAGCAGAGCUGGAGGCAGCUUUUCUGGCAGCUGGCCUGCAUUUGCAGAGCUCUCACCCAGACCGUGCUGGUGCAUAUGAGCUUCCUGAACAACAUGUGAAAGCCCAGGGCAAGAGGCAAACAAAUUCCUCUUCUCUUUGGGGGAAAACAGAAUGCUGUGUUGUAAUUAAAUUUGCCAGGCGCUACUGUAGUGUGGUUGUGUAGAUGAGAGGAUGCAGAUACAUAUUCCUGGGCAGCUUAUUUUCAUGUUAAAGCACUGGAAGAUGGUUUGAUGGUUGUUUUUUGCUUUGUUGUGUUUUUGUUUUGUUUUUGGUGGUGUUGGGGGUGUUUGCUUUUUUCACAAACAAUAGCAUUAAUGACUUUGUCUUGCCUAGUCCAGGUAGACUUGUCUAGUCUUACCUGCUCCAGAAGGUAGUAUUUCAGAAGUAUGGUUUGCAAGUUUUUGUUUGUUUGUUUGUUUCUAUGCUAAAAGAAGGGUGCGAUUUUUAACGUUAAUAGAAACACAAAUAUAACUUCUCUCCAGACCUUAAGUAACAGCAAUCUUGUUUUCCUGACUCAGGAAAAAAAAAAUCACGAACAAAACAAAACAAACAAACAAACAAAAACCUGCUAAAACAAAUAGAAGGGCUAUGGACUCUCAUUUAUUUUAAAGGACUUCAAUUCAGACCCCUUAUGACUAGGUCCCACUGAUCUCAAUAGAAGUUAUUUGUCUCUAAGAAGGAGAGCUGCACAAACUCUGAUUUUCACAUGAUUAUUCUCUUUAAAUGUGUUUGCUCAGCUUCCUGGAGAACGGAAGUGGACAGGGUGCAGCGUAUGCCUUUGAGCUCCUGGGCAUUUUAUUUGGUGUUCUGUGGCUGCCGUUAAAACGUGGCCACAAAGCUGCAGGUAGUUCAUUUUGGAUCAUGCCUACAAUCACCUGGGAAAUCUCCUUUUAUUGUUGCAUGCUCAGGUUCCAUCAUGAUCCAAGUCCCUGGGCUGAUCAGUGCAAAUAGCUAGUGAAUACUUGUAUAACCUCUCCCGAUUAUCAUGCAGCUGUACUGUGCAGUAACAUUCCUUCAUUGACUU